UACGUAGGGGGCAAGCGUUGUCCGGAAUUAUUGGGCGUAAAGAGCGCGUAGGCGGUCCGAUAAGUCGGCUGUGAAAGUCAGGGGCUCAACCCUUGGAAGCCGGCCGAUACUGUCGGACUAGAGUCCGGAAGAGGCGAGUGGAAUUCCCGGUGUAGCGGUGAAAUGCGCAGAUAUCAGGAGGAACACCGAUGGCGAAGGCAGCUCGCUGGGACGGUACUGACGCUGAGGCGCGAAAGCGUGGGGAGCGAACAGG
rnacentral:rRNA from 1 species